UACGUAGGGUGCGAGCGUUAAUCGGAAUUACUGGGCGUAAAGUGUGCGCAGGCGGCCGAGCAAGUCGAGUGUGAAAGCCCCGAGCUUAACUUGGGAAUUGCGUUCGAAACUACUUGGCUGGAGUGUGGCAGAGGAAGGUGGAAUUCCAGGUGUAGCGGUGAAAUGCGUAGAGAUCUGGAGGAACACCGAUGGCGAAGGCAGCCUUCUGGGCCAACACUGACGCUCAUGCACGAAAGCGUGGGGAGCAAACAGG
rnacentral:rRNA from 1 species